AGAGUUUGAUCCUGGCUCAGAAUGAACGCUGGCGGCAUGGUUAAAGCAUGCAAGUUGCACGAGAACCACUUCGGUGGGGACAGUGGCGGACGGGCGAGUAAUGCAUUCCUACGUGCCUCGAGGUGGGGGAUAGCCAAGGGAAACCUUGAGUAAUACCCCAUGUCCUCUCUGGAGAAAAGCUCAGGCGCCUUGAGAUCGGGGAAUGUCCUAUCAGGUAGUUGGCGGGGUAACGGCCCACCAAGCCGAAGACGGGUAGCCGGUGUGAGAGCACGACCGGCCGCAUCGGGACUGAGACACUGCCCGGACUCCUACGGGAGGCUGCAGCAACGAAUCUUCCGCAAUGCACGAAAGUGUGACGGAGCAAUGCCGCGUGCGGGAUGAAGCGGCUACGCCGUGUAAACCGCUGUCAGGACCAAGGAAUACUGACCUGGUCCAAAGGAAGGGCCGGCUAAUCUCGUGCCAGCAGCCGCGGUAAUACGAGAGGCCCGAGCGUUAUUCGGAAUCACUGGGCUUAAAGGGUGCGUAGGCGGCCAUGUAGGCGUCCUGUGAAAUCCCACGGCUCAACCGUGGAAUUGCGGGGCGAACCACAUGGCUUGAACCUGGUAGGGGCUGUCGGAACGAUCGGUGGAGCGGUGAAAUGCGUAGAUAUCGAUCGGAACGCCGAAGGUGAAGACGGGCAGCUGGGCCAGAGUUGACGCUGAGGCACGAAAGCGUGGGGAUCAAACAGGAUUAGAUACCCUGGUAGUCCACGCCGUAAACGAUGUGCACUAGACCGGGGCGGUUUUGACGCCGUCCUGGUCGUAGGAAAACCAUUAAGUGCACCGCCUGGGGAGUACGGUCGCAAGAUUAAAACUCAAAGGAAUUGACGGGGGCUCACACAAGCGGUGGAGCAUGUUGCUUGAUUCGAAGCAACGCGAAGAACCUUAUCCUGGGCUUGACAUACACGGAUUAGUUCAUGGAAACAUGAAUGACGCUCUUCGGAGUGGAACGUGAACAGGUGCUGCAUGGCUGUCGUCAGCUCGUGCUGUGAAGUGUCGGGUUAAGUCCCUCAACGAGCGCAACCCCUAUCGUUAGUUGCCAGCGCGUAAUGGCGGGGACUCUAGCGAGACUGCCGGUGUCAAACCGGAGGAAGGUGGGGAUGACGUCAAGUCCUCAUGGCCUUUAUGCCCAGGGCUGCAAUCGUGCUACAAUGGUAUGGACAGAGCGAAGCGAGGCCGCGAGGCGGAGCAAAUCGCAAAAACCAUGCCCCAGUUCAGAUUACAGUCUGCAACUCGACUGUAUGAAGUUGGAAUCGCUAGUAAUCGGGGAUCAGCUACGCCCCGGUGAAUAUGUUCCUGAGCCUUGUACACACCGCCCGUCAAGUCAUGGAAGCCGGGAGUGCCCGAAGUCGCUAUAUCUCAAUAGUGCCCACGGCAAGUUCGGUGACUGGGACUAAGUCGUAACAAGGUA
rnacentral:rRNA from 1 species